rnacentral:rRNA from 1 species
UACGUAGGGUGCGAGCGUUAAUCGGAAUUACUGGGCGUAAAGCGUGCGCAGGCGGUUUUGUAAGCCAGGUGUGAAAUCCCCGGGCUCAACCUGGGAAUGGCAUUUGGGACUGCAAGGCUGGAGUGCGGCAGAGGAGACUGGAAUUCCUGGUGUAGCAGUGAAAUGCGUAGAUAUCAGGAGGAACACCGACGGCGUAGGCAGCGCCCUGGACGACACCUGACGCUGAGGCACGAAAGCUGGGGGAGCAAACAGG